rnacentral:SRP_RNA from 1 species
GCCGGGCGCGGUGGCGUGCGCCUGUGGUCCCAGCUACUCGGGAGGCUGAGGCAGGAGGAUCGCUUGAGCCCAGGAGUUCUGGGCUGUAGUGCGCUAUGCCGAUCGGGUGUCCGCACUAAGUUCGGCAUCAAUAUGGUGACCUCCCGGGAGCGGGGGACCACCAGGUUGCCUAAGGAGGGGUGAACCGGCCCAGGUCAGAAACGGAGCAGGUCAGAAAACAUGAUGACUUGCAAGGGGUCUAUCAGAAUUCAUCUAGAUGCUUUCUGAAAAAUGCUAAAUGCUCUCAA